rnacentral:rRNA from 1 species
AACGAACGCUGGCGGCAUGCCUAGCACAUGCAAGUCGAACGAGACCUUCGGGUCUAGUGGCGCACGGGUGCGUAACGCGUGGGAAUCUGCCCUUGGGUUCGGAAUAACAGUUGGAAACGACUGCUAAUACCGGAUGAUGACGUAAGUCCAAAGAUUUAUCGCCCAAGGAUGAGCCCGCGUAGGAUUAGCUAGUUGGUGAGGUAAAGGCUCACCAAGGCGACGAUCCUUAGCUGGUCUGAGAGGAUGAUCAGCCACACUGGGACUGAGACACGGCCCAGACUCCUACGGGAGGCAGCAGUGGGGAAUAUUGGACAAUGGGUGAAAGCCUGAUCCAGCAAUGCCGCGUGAGUGAUGAAGGCCUUAGGGUUGUAAAGCUCUUUUACCCGGGAUGAUAAUGACAGUACCGGGAGAAUAAGCUCCGGCUAACUCCGUG